UACGGGGGGGGUAAGCGUUGUUCGGAAUUACUGGGCGUAAAGGGCUCGUAGGCGGCCAACUAAGUCAUACGUGAAAUCCCUCAGCUUAACUGGGGAACUGCGUGUGAUACUGGAUGGCUUGGAUUUGGGAGAGGGAUGCGGAAUUCCAGGUGUAGCGGUGAAAUGCGUAGAUAUCUGGAGGAACACCGGUGGCGAAGGCGGCAUCCUGGACCAAUAUUGACGCUGAGGCACGAAAGCGUGGGGAGCAAACAGG
rnacentral:rRNA from 1 species